GAACCACAAAGUCUAACAGGAAGUCUUCCAUAAAGGAAAGCUGUCUGUCACACAGAGGAGGGUACAGUGCACUUUCAAAACCCAUUUACAAAUAAAAUUUGUUCCCUGGAGCCACUCACAUUGGAUGUCACUCAGAGUACACUUGUUCAGAUCCGUGUCAGUGUGCAGCAAGGACCAGCUGCUCCCUAAGGGACUGGGAGCUGCAAGCCAAGGGUGACCCAAGGCCUGGCAGAGCUCUUCCCGACAGACACCAUCCCUCAGGAUCUGACUGUGGCUGUCCGCUGAAAUAUAAAAGUGACUAAGAAGUAAAUCAAGCAAGCCACAAUGCCCAGAAACAACUCAGAAGAAAACUAAAAACUCGUGCCCAUGAUCAUGAAAUGGCAAAAAGUAGCUACACAGGUGUCAUGCAGAGAUGUGAAAAAAGAAUAUGGAUGUGGAGGAAUGGUGAAGUGAAAGUUGACAUGAAAUUUUAAACAUGUUGCUCAGCAGCAGGUGGAUGAUACAUAUCCAUAAAUUAAGAUCAGACACAGAAGAAAUACAAUACAGAACUUUCUUU